rnacentral:rRNA from 1 species
UACGUAGGUGGCAAGCGUUGUCCGGAUUUACUGGGCGUAAAGGGAGCGUAGGCGGAUACUUAAGUGGGAUGUGAAAUACCCGGGCUCAACCCGGGUGCUGCAUUCCAAACUGGGUAUCUAGAGUGUGGGAGAGGAAAGUGGAAUUCCUAGUGUAGCGGUGAAAUGCGUAGAUAUUAGGAAGAACACCAGUGGCGAAGGCGACUUUCUGGACCAUAACUGACGCUGAGGCUCGAAAGCGUGGGGAGCAAACAGG